CAGCAGCAGCAGCAGCAGCAGCAAGAACUGCUUUCUGAGAAACACACACAGAACUGGUGCAAGAAGGCUAAGGAAAUCCUGAGAAAGUAAACACGUCUGCCCAAUGCUCAACCGUGGUCGACUCUGCAUGUCUUCAGAAGGCUUGACUAUUGGGAAAAGCGUUUAAAGGCACAGAACUGGAGGCCCUCAGAGUGAUGAGAGGAAGCCAUUGGGCCACGGAUUGAUGAUGCAUGUGCCUUUGAUGACACCUGUCGGGGUGCUGGCUACAUGUCUGGACAUUUCCAAGACUCAACCAUCCCCACGUUCUCUCCUGGGGCCUCCUGCUCAUCCACACAGAGGAUGCUGCACCUGGGCCCCGAUGGACCGUGGUCCUCCUUGUGGAGGAGCUGGGGCUGUCGAGUGAAACCAGCCACCUCUGUGAACCGCUCUGCGGGGGACCUACCUACGUAGGUGGAAGCGAGGCAGCUGUGUGCAUUUCAACACCAAUCAUCAACUGUUCUUGGCUACUGCUCCUUGUGAUGGAGGUUUCCGAGCUCUGCGUCCUGGGGCGGAGAAGGGUGAUAGAGAGCCGGGGUGGGGGGAGGGGGCAGUGCGUUCUGGGCCCCUUCCCACUUGGUCAUGGAGCCACAAGGCUUGGGUCUGUUUUAUACAUGGCCCAAACUUCUAUUUAAAGUCUCAGAGCCUGGGGCCCCUGGCUGGCUCGGUUGGAAGGGCAUGCGACUCUCUAUCUCAGGGUUAUGAGCUCGAGCCUCAGGUGGGGGGUAGAGAUUAUUUAAAAAUAAACUCUUUAAAAAAUAGAAAGGUUUCCAGGGGGCUAAAAAGUGAUUGCCAACAUGGGCUUUGAGUAGCUGAUGGUGUAAAAACGGACAGUCCCAUCUCCCAGGUGUUAAACUGCCCCAUUGGUUGAAUUCCUGGUCCCUCUGCCCCUUCUGACCGUCGUCAGCCUUGGACAUGGGAUUGGGAGGAGCUGGGGCUCAAAGCUGCGGGCUGGCAUGCUCAGCAGUCAGCUACCGGACACCAGGCCUCCCCUGAAACUGUUGUGUUGCACGAAGUUUCAUAUGUGGGGCCUGGAGAUCUGGUGUCAGAACACGCACUUAUCCCUAAACCAUGACUCGCGUUCUGGUUGCAGAUCGGUGCUGUGCUGGUGAAUGUUUAAUGAGUGGAUCUUCCGGGGUGGGAAAAAGCCUCGUUUUGCAGCAUUGACUGCUUCCUGUGGUAUAAACACUCCCCAUGAGGUCGAUUUCAAUCUACUAACCGGGUGUUGCUAAAGCAGAGCUGGGAAGAGAUUCUGAAACACGGGGUCACAGAGUCCAGUUGCAUCUCGUAGAAACAAGGGGUAUAAACAGCCUCAAAGCAGAGGUGAGGAACCUGUAGUCAAAUAUUGGGAAAGGGAGACGUUUGGAACAUUUGUUGUCUUCGUUCUUAAUAUGAUUUGUUUAAUUGCACGUUUGCGUCAUUUAAUUUAUAAGAUGGUUGCAUGUACAGUGCUGGCCAAAUCCUGGAAGGUCCCACCGUCGGCUCUCGCAGGCUGGGCCCUUGGUGGCGCUGGCUCUAGGUCACCUCUAGGGGUCUACCUCUGCUGGGAAGCGACAAGCCAUUUGGUCAAACCUCAAGACACUUAGGUUCCCAGGUCUGGAAAACAAGAGGCCCUCCGUUUCUGCCGUGUGGGGUCUGAGCACCAGGGAACACGCCUCACGUGUUUUUGAAUCUCAGGUGAAUCUAGGGUGCCCUGUUCGCACUUCUGAAGAAAGUUGUAGCAGAAACGUUUUCUCAGGGACGCCUGGGUGGCUCAGUGGUUGAGCGUCUGCCUUCAGCUCAGGGUGUGACCCCGGAGUCCUGGGAUCGAGUCCCACAUCUGGCUCCCCACAGGGAGCCUGCUUCUCCCUCUGCCUGUGUCUCUGCCUCUCUCUGUGUCAUGAA